ensembl:snoRNA
AUCCUUUUGCAGUUCAUAAGCAUGAUGAUUGGGUUUUCACAUUGCUGUGUGAGAUGUGCCUCCCUUAAGUCUCGUUACAAUGUCAGCACAUUACCCAUCUGAUG